GUGGGCCCUCGAAAUCCUGUGGCGGGAGGAUUCAGUCGAGCGGUUCGGAGUGGAGCGCCUGUACUUUCAGAGUGGUACCCUUCACGGGCCAACGGGUGCUCCGAUUUCGUUCCACCGACGCAUUUCUUUCCCGCCCGAAGGACGCCGCAACCGGUUGGCGGAACGGCCUUGAGUGUGGAUGCCGGCAGUUGGCCGGUGGUACUCCGUCAGGGGUCCGCCGGUUGUUAGCCUUUUCGCACGGGCCGAACCCCGACCGUGGUCGAAGGGGCCCUUUCUUGGGCCUCGACGCCUCCUCCGUAAAACGACCGCGAGCGGAAGCGGCAGGUGAGGCUCUGUGAACGCGGGCGCACGGACACACUCCGUGGCCCGUCGGUCCUCUGUCCCCGCUGGCCGACUUCGACUCGUUGGAGAGCUGGCGGUUCGCGGCGAGUAGGUCGGUCACCCACCCGACCCGUCUUGAAACACGGACCAAGGAGUCUAACAUGUGUGCGAGUCAAUGGGACUCGAUAAAGCCCAAAGGCGCAAUGAAAGCAAAGGUCUACCAAGGCCCAGUUGGGAUCCUCCCUCCUCCGCGGGGGAGGCGCACCAACGGCCCGUCCCGUCCGACUUGUUCGGUGUGGCGGAGCUCGAGCACACACGUUGGGACCCGAAAGAUGGUGAACUAUGCCCGGGCAGGACGAGGCCAGAGGAAACUCUGGUGGAGGUCCGCAGCGGUUCUGACGUGCAA
rnacentral:rRNA from 1 species